rnacentral:rRNA from 1 species
UACAGAGGGUGCAAGCGUUAAUCGGAAUUACUGGGCGUAAAGCGCGCGUAGGUGGUUCGUUAAGUUGGAUGUGAAAUCCCCGGGCUCAACCUGGGAACUGCAUUCAAAACUGUCGAGCUAGAGUAUGGUAGAGGGUGGUGGAAUUUCCUGUGUAGCGGUGAAAUGCGUAGAUAUAGGAAGGAACACCAGUGGCGAAGGCGACUAACUGGACAUGUAUUGACGCUGAGGUGCGAAAGCGUGGGGAGCAAACAGG